rnacentral:piRNA from 1 species
UCUGUAUGGUGUUUCUUCACAGCAAUGGUA